GGUGGUAUAGCUCAGUGGUAGAGAGUAUGCUUUGCAUGUAUAAGGCCCUGGGUUAGAUCCCUUGCACCA
rnacentral:tRNA from 1 species